CAUUCAAAGAGUGCGUAACAGCUCACUGGUCGAGUGGACAUGCGCCGACAAUACACGGGGCUAAGCUGGACACCGAAGCGGCGGGAUUUUAAUUCAUUAGAAUCGGUAGGGGAGCUUCCCAUGGGCGGAGAAGCCGGAGGGCGACCGACGGUGGAGCGCAUGGGAGUGAGAAUGCUGGCAUGAGUAGCGAGAGACGAGAGAGUAACUCGUCCGCCGUGAACCCGAGGUUUCCUGGGCAAGGCUAAUCCUCCCAGGGUCAGUCGGGGGCUAAGGCGAGGCCGGUAGGCGUAGCCGACGCGCAGCAGGCAGACAUUCCUGCACCGCGCACGCGGCGCUACGACCGACGGGGCGACGGAUGGGGGUGGCUCGGCGGGGUUCUGGACGUCCCCGUGAUGGAGCGCGGCCCGCGGACCAGGGAAAUCCGGUCCGCAUUGAGGGCGAGGCUCCGGACGAAGCACUUAAGCGAAGCGAGUGAGCCCGAGGUCCCUAGAAAAACCCCUAGGCAGGCGCGUGCGCGCCCGUACCGCAAACCGACACAGGUGGGUGGGUAGAACAUACCGAGGCGAUCGGGUCAACCAUGGUCAAGGAACUCGGCACAAUGGCCCCGUAACUUCGGGAGAAGGGGUGCCCGCGCGUACGUGAACCGGCUCGCCCGGGGAGCGGAGGCGGGCCGCAGUGGAGAGGCCCAAGCGACUGUUUACCAAAAACACAGGACUCUGCAGAAGCCGCAAGGCGACGUAUAGGGUCUGACGCCUGCCCGGUGCCGGAAGGUCACGCGGAGGAGUUAGCCGUUAAGGCGAAGCCCCGAAGCCAAGCCCCGGUAAACGGCGGCCGUAACUAUAACGGUCCUAAGGUAGCGAAAUUCCUUGUCGGGUAAGUUCCGACCUGCACGAAAGGCGCAACGACUUGGGCGCUGUCUCGACCAUGGACCCGGUGAAAUUGCACUGGUCGUGAAGAUGCGACUUACCCGCGGAAGGACGGAAAGACCCCGUGAACCUUCACUGCAGCUUGGCAUUGGCCGCUGGUCCCGCGUGUAGAGGAUAGGCAGGAGGCACAGAUCCGGAGGCGCCAGCCCCCGGGGAGCCGCCCUUGGAAUACUGCCCUCGCGCGACCGGCGUCCUAACCCGAGGCCGUCAACCGGCUCGGGGACCGUGCCAGGCGGGCAGUUUGACUGGGGCGGUCGCCUCCUAAAGGGUAACGGAGGCGCGCGAAGGUCCGCUCGGGACGGUCGGCAACCGUCCUUUUGAAUGCAAGAGUACAAGCGGGCUUGACUGCGAGGCCCACAAGCCGAGCAGGUGCGAAAGCAGGCUCUAGUGAUCCGGCGGCCCCGAGUGGGUGGGCCGUCGCUCAACGGAUAAAAGGUACUCCGGGGAUAACAGGCUGAUCUUGCCCAAGAGUCCACAUCGACGGCAAGGUUUGGCACCUCGAUGUCGGCUCAUCGCAUCCUGGGGCUGGAGCAGGUCCCAAGGGUACGGCUGUUCGCCGUUUAAAGCGGUACGCGAGCUGGGUUCAGAACGUCGUGAGACAGUUCGGUCCCUAUCCUCCGUGGGCGCAGGAGAAUCGAUGGAGGCUGCCCCCAGUACGAGAGGACCGGGGUGGACGCACCUCCGGUGAACCGGUUGUCGACCAACGGCACGGCCGGGUAGCCGCGUGCGGCGCGGAUAACCGCUGAAGGCAUCUAAGCGGGAAGCCGUUCCAGGGAUUAGUUCUCCUUCCGGUAAGGGCCCAGGUAGACUACCUGGUCGAUAGACGGCAGGUGCAAGGCUGGCGACAGCCUCAGCCGAGCCGCACUAAUCGCCCGAGCUCUUCCGGAA
rnacentral:rRNA from 1 species